AUCAUGGCAGGCUCUACAGCUACAGUAGAAGAGUGUUGCUGGUGUUCGGAGCUGUCAGUUUGCAGAGCGGCACUGUGAAACAGGUAUCACAAGUGAUAGAAACAGACAAGGAAGAAUUUGACUGACCCAAUGAUCUCCCGUGGGACCUCCCAAAGGAGCACAGAUACCAACAUCACCGGUCAUACCUCAUUGUCUAUAAUGGGUCCCAUCAGGUGUCUGUCAUUUUAUCAGGAAUAUUUAAUAGAAUCUACAACUGAGGCACCUAAUGGAGUCAUCAGCGAGAUGUGUAAUUUUAACUCCUUAUCCCAAAGUCAUGUAAAAAUAAAUUGUGGUAAGGGUCACGUGUGUGGGAUGGCUGGUUAUGAUCCAGGAUACAGAAGCUGUGCCCACCCAUUACCUUUCUGAAAGAAGGCUGAUACCGAUAGCCACCCUUAUGUGCUCUUGACCGACCCUGGAUUUUUAACCUCUUCUGCUUGAUGAAUGCUGAUUAAUGUGCUGACAACAGGAAGGGGCUUCAUUUGCCAAUUCCCGUAAGCUUGGCACUGCUAAGCGGGGGAUGAUGUUUUUAUACUGGCAGCUUUCGACUUGUAUGUCCAACAUUUAUGCCUGUCAACCCUAACAGAUACCUGCACAUUUUUUCUGUAUAUUGAAAGA